rnacentral:rRNA from 1 species
GUAGGGAAUAUUGCACAAUGGAGGAAACUCUGAUGCAGCGACGCCGCGUGAGUGAUGAAGGCCUUCGGGUCGUAAAGCUCUGUCGCAGGGGAAUAACACAAUGAAGGUACCCUGUAAGAAAGGAUCGGCUAACUUCGUGCCAGCAGCCGCGGUAAGACGAGGGAUCCUAGCGUUGUUCGGAAUCAUUGGACGUAAAGCGGAUGUAGGUGGCUAUGUAAGUCAGAUGUGAAAGCCUGGGGCUCAACCCCAGAAGUGCAUUUGAUACUGCGUAGCUUGAGUGUCGGAGAGGUUACUAGAAUUGUUGGUGUAGUGGUGAAAUACGUAGAUAUCAACAGGAAUACCGGAGGCGAAGGCGGGUAACUGGCCGAACACUGACACUGAGAUCCGAAAGCGUGGGGAUCAAACAGGAUUAGAAACCCCAGUAGUCC